UGAAGAGUUUGAUCAUGGCUCAGAUUGAACGCUGGCGGCAGGCCUAACACAUGCAAGUCGAACGGUAACAGGAAGCAGCUUGCUGCUUCGCUGACGAGUGGCGGACGGGUGAGUAAUGUCUGGGAAACUGCCUGAUGGAGGGGGAUAACUACUGGAAACGGUGGCUAAUACCGCAUAACGUCGCAAGACCAAAGAGGGGGACCUUCGGGCCUCUUGCCAUCAGAUGUGCCCAGAUGGGAUUAGCUUGUUGGUGAGGUAACGGCUCACCAAGGCGACGAUCCCUAGCUGGUCUGAGAGGAUGACCAGCCACACUGGAACUGAGACACGGUCCAGACUCCUACGGGAGGCAGCAGUGGGGAAUAUUGCACAAUGGGCGCAAGCCUGAUGCAGCCAUGCCGCGUGUAUGAAGAAGGCCUUCGGGUUGUAAAGUACUUUCAGCGGGGAGGAAGGUGUUGUGGUUAAUAACCGCAGCAAUUGACGUUACCCGCAGAAGAAGCACCGGCUAACUCCGUGCCAGCAGCCGCGGUAAUACGGAGGGUGCAAGCGUUAAUCGGAAUUACUGGGCGUAAAGCGCACGCAGGCGGUCUGUCAAGUCGGAUGUGAAAUCCCCGGGCUCAACCUGGGAACUGCAUUCGAAACUGGCAGGCUUGAGUCUUGUAGAGGGGGGUAGAAUUCCAGGUGUAGCGGUGAAAUGCGUAGAGAUCUGGAGGAAUACCGGUGGCGAAGGCGGCCCCCUGGACAAAGACUGACGCUCAGGUGCGAAAGCGUGGGGAGCAAACAGGAUUAGAUACCCUGGUAGUCCACGCCGUAAACGAUGUCUACUUGGAGGUUGUGCCCUUGAGGCGUGGCUUCCGGAGCUAACGCGUUAAGUAGACCGCCUGGGGAGUACGGCCGCAAGGUUAAAACUCAAAUGAAUUGACGGGGGCCCGCACAAGCGGUGGAGCAUGUGGUUUAAUUCGAUGCAACGCGAAGAACCUUACCUGGUCUUGACAUCCACAGAACUUUCCAGAGAUGGAUUGGUGCCUUCGGGAACUGUGAGACAGGUGCUGCAUGGCUGUCGUCAGCUCGUGUUGUGAAAUGUUGGGUUAAGUCCCGCAACGAGCGCAACCCUUAUCCUUUGUUGCCAGCGAUUAGGUCGGGAACUCAAAGGAGACUGCCAGUGAUAAACUGGAGGAAGGUGGGGAUGACGUCAAGUCAUCAUGGCCCUUACGACCAGGGCUACACACGUGCUACAAUGGCGCAUACAAAGAGAAGCGACCUCGCGAGAGCAAGCGGACCUCAUAAAGUGCGUCGUAGUCCGGAUUGGAGUCUGCAACUCGACUCCAUGAAGUCGGAAUCGCUAGUAAUCGUGGAUCAGAAUGCCACGGUGAAUACGUUCCCGGGCCUUGUACACACCGCCCGUCACACCAUGGGAGUGGGUUGCAAAAGAAGUAGGUAGCUUAACCUUCGGGAGGGCGCUUACCACUUUGUGAUUCAUGACUGGGGUGAAGUCGUAACAAGGUAACCGUAGGGGAACCUGCGGUUGGAUCACCUCCUUACCUUAAAGAA
rnacentral:rRNA from 2 species